rnacentral:rRNA from 1 species
UAGUGGCGAACGGGUGAGUAACACGUGGGCAAUCUGCCCUUCACUCUGGGACAAGCCCUGGAAACGGGGUCUAAUACCGGAUACGACCCGGGAAGGCAUCUUCCCGGGUGGAAAGCUCCGGCGGUGAAGGAUGAGCCCGCGGCCUAUCAGCUUGUUGGCGGGGUAACGGCCCACCAAGGCGACGACGGGUAGCCGGCCUGAGAGGGCGACCGGCCACACUGGGACUGAGACACGGCCCAGACUCCUACGGGAGGCAGCAGUGGGGAAUAUUGCACAAUGGGCGCAAGCCUGAUGCAGCGACGCCGCGUGAGGGAUGACGGCCUUCGGGUUGUAAACCUCUUUCAGCAGGGAAGAAGCGCAAGUGACGGUACCUGCAGAAGAAGCGCCGGCUAACUACGUGCCAGCAGCCGCGGUAAUACGUAGGGCGCAAGCGUUGUCCGGAAUUAUUGGGCGUAAAGAGCUCGUAGGCGGCUUGUCACGUCGGGUGUGAAAGCCCGGGGCUUAACCCCGGGUCUGCAUCCGAUACGGGCAGGCUAGAGUGUGGUAGGGGAGAUCGGAAUUCCU